rnacentral:rRNA from 2 species
GAAUUUAAUAUAUUUAAAUAAAUUUUUAUGAUUUUAUUUAAUUAUAUUUUAUUGGGAGGAUAUUUAAAUUUUAUAAACUUUAAUUUAUAUUUGUAUUAACAUAAAUUAGUGAAAUUAAAGAAUAAUUUAAUUUUUAUUUAUUAUUGAAGAAUUAAUUACCUUAGGGAUAACAGCGUAAUAUUAUUGGAAAGAUCAUAUUUAUAUUAAUGUUUGC